rnacentral:rRNA from 2 species
CGCUGGCGGCGUGCCUAAUACAUGCAAGUCGAACGAACUCUGGUAUUGAUUGGUGCUUGCAUCAUGAUUUACAUUUGAGUGAGUGGCGAACUGGUGAGUAACACGUGGGAAACCUGCCCAGAAGCGGGGGAUAACACCUGGAAACAGAUGCUAAUACCGCAUAACAACUUGGACCGCAUGGUCCGAGCUUGAAAGAUGGCUUCGGCUAUCACUUUUGGAUGGUCCCGCGGCGUAUUAGCUAGAUGGUGGGGUAACGGCUCACCAUGGCAAUGAUACGUAGCCGACCUGAGAGGGUAAUCGGCCACAUUGGGACUGAGACACGGCCCAAACUCCUACGGGAGGCAGCAGUAGGGAAUCUUCCACAAUGGACGAAAGUCUGAUGGAGCAACGCCGCGUGAGUGAAGAAGGGUUUCGGCUCGUAAAACUCUGUUGUUAAAGAAGAACAUAUCUGAGAGUAACUGUUCAGGUAUUGACGGUAUUUAACCAGAAAGCCACGGCUAACUACGUGCCAGCAGCCGCGGUAAUACGUAGGUGGCAAGCGUUGUCCGGAUUUAUUGGGCGUAAAGCGAGCGCAGGCGGUUUUUUAAGUCUGAUGUGAAAGCCUUCGGCUCAACCGAAGAAGUGCAUCGGAAACUGGGAAACUUGAGUGCAGAAGAGGACAGUGGAACUCCAUGUGUAGCGGUGAAAUGCGUAGAUAUAUGGAAGAACACCAGUGGCGAAGGCGGCUGUCUGGUCUGUAACUGACGCUGAGGCUCGAAAGUAUGGGUAGCAAACAGGAUUAGAUACCCUGGUAGUCCAUACCGUAAACGAUGAAUGCUAAGUGUUGGAGGGUUUCCGCCCUUCAGUGCUGCAGCUAACGCAUUAAGCAUUCCGCCUGGGGAGUACGGCCGCAAGGCUGAAACUCAAAGGAAUUGACGGGGGCCCGCACAAGCGGUGGAGCAUGUGGUUUAAUUCGAAGCUACGCGAAGAACCUUACCAGGUCUUGACAUACUAUGCAAAUCUAAGAGAUUAGACGUUCCCUUCGGGGACAUGGAUACAGGUGGUGCAUGGUUGUCGUCAGCUCGUGUCGUGAGAUGUUGGGUUAAGUCCCGCAACGAGCGCAACCCUUAUUAUCAGUUGCCAGCAUUAAGUUGGGCACUCUGGUGAGACUGCCGGUGACAAACCGGAGGAAGGUGGGGAUGACGUCAAAUCAUCAUGCCCCUUAUGACCUGGGCUACACACGUGCUACAAUGGAUGGUACAACGAGUUGCGAACUCGCGAGAGUAAGCUAAUCUCUUAAAGCCAUUCUCAGUUCGGAUUGUAGGCUGCAACUCGCCUACAUGAAGUCGGAAUCGCUAGUAAUCGCGGAUCAGCAUGCCGCGGUGAAUACGUUCCCGGGCCUUGUACACACCGCCCGUCACACCAUGAGAGUUUGUAACACCCAAAGUCGGUGGGGUAACCUUUUAGGAACCAGCCGCCUAAGGUGGGACAGAUGAUUAGGGUGAAG